UACGGAGGGUGCAAGCGUUAUCCGGAUUCACUGGGUUUAAAGGGUGCGUAGGUGGGCAGGUAAGUCAGUGGUGAAAUCUCUGGGCUUAACCCAGAAACUGCCGUUGAUACUAUCUGUCUUGAAUAUAGUGGAGGUGAGCGGAAUAUGUCAUGUAGCGGUGAAAUGCUUAGAUAUGACAUAGAACACCCAUUGCGAAGGCAGCUCGCUACACUAUUAUUGACACUGAGGCACGAAAGCGUGGGGAUCAAACAGG
rnacentral:rRNA from 1 species